GAUGAACGCUGGCGGCGUGCUUAACACAUGCAAGUCGAACGAAGCAUUUAGAAUGAAGUUUUCGGAUGGAUUUCUAAAUGACUUAGUGGCGGACGGGUGAGUAACGCGUGGGUAACCUGCCUUACACAGGGGGAUAACAGCUGGAAACGGCUGCUAAUACCGCAUAAGCGCACAGUGCUGCAUAGUACAGUGUGAAAAAGAUUUAUCGGUGUAAGAUGGACCCGCGUCUGAUUAGCUAGUUGGUGAGGUAACGGCCCACCAAGGCGACGAUCAGUAGCCGGCUUGAGAGAGUGAACGGCCACAUUGGGACUGAGACACGGCCCAAACUCCUACGGGAGGCUG
rnacentral:rRNA from 1 species